rnacentral:rRNA from 1 species
GGGUUGUGAGGUUAAGCGACUAAGCGUACACGGUGGAUGCCCUGGCAGUCAGAGGCGAUGAAGGACGUGCUAAUCUGCGAUAAGCGUCGGUAAGGUGAUAUGAACCGUUAUAACCGGCGAUUUCCGAAUGGGGAAACCCAGUGUGAUUCGUCACACUAUCAUUAACUGAAUCCAUAGGUUAAUGAGGCGAACCGGGGGAACUGAAACAUCUAAGUACCCCGAGGAAAAGAAAUCAACCGAGAUUCCCCCAGUAGCGGCGAGCGAACGGGGAGCAGCCCAGAGCCUGAAUCAGUGUGUGUGUUAGUGGAAGCGUCUGGAAAGGCGUGCGAUACAGGGUGACAGCCCCGUACACAAAAAUGCACAUGCUGUGAGCUCGAUGAGUAGGGCGGGACACGUGGUAUCCUGUCUGAAUAUGGGGGGACCAUCCUCCAAGGCUAAAUACUCCUGACUGACCGAUAGUGAACCAGUACCGUGAGGGAAAGGCGAAAAGAACCCCGGCGAGGGGAGUGAAAAAGAACCUGAAACCGUGUACGUACAAGCAGUGGGAGCACGCUUAGGCGUGUGACUGCGUACCUUUUGUAUAAUGGGUCAGCGACUUAUAUUCUGUAGCAAGGUUAACCGAAUAGGGGAGCCGAAGGGAAACCGAGUCUUAACUGGGCGUUAAGUUGCAGGGUAUAGACCCGAAACCCGGUGAUCUAGCCAUGGGCAGGUUGAAGGUUGGGUAACACUAACUGGAGGACCGAACCGACUAAUGUUGAAAAAUUAGCGGAUGACUUGUGGCUGGGGGUGAAAGGCCAAUCAAACCGGGAGAUAGCUGGUUCUCCCCGAAAGCUAUUUAGGUAGCGCCUCGUGAAUUCAUCUCCGGGGGUAGAGCACUGUUUCGGCAAGGGGGUCAUCCCGACUUACCAACCCGAUGCAAACUGCGAAUACCGGAGAAUGUUAUCACGGGAGACACACGGCGGGUGCUAACGUCCGUCGUGAAGAGGGAAACAACCCAGACCGCCAGCUAAGGUCCCAAAGUCAUGGUUAAGUGGGAAACGAUGUGGGAAGGCCCAGACAGCCAGGAUGUUGGCUUAGAAGCAGCCAUCAUUUAAAGAAAGCGUAAUAGCUCACUGGUCGAGUCGGCCUGCGCGGAAGAUGUAACGGGGCUAAACCAUGCACCGAAGCUGCGGCAGCGACGCUGAUGCGUUGUUGGGUAGGGGAGCGUUCUGUAAGCCUGCGAAGGUGUGCUGUGAGGCAUGCUGGAGGUAUCAGAAGUGCGAAUGCUGACAUAAGUAACGAUAAAGCGGGUGAAAAGCCCGCUCGCCGGAAGACCAAGGGUUCCUGUCCAACGUUAAUCGGGGCAGGGUGAGUCGACCCCUAAGGCGAGGCCGAAAGGCGUAGUCGAUGGGAAACAGGUUAAUAUUCCUGUACUUGGUGUUACUGCGAAGGGGGGACGGAGAAGGCUAUGUUGGCCGGGCGACGGUUGUCCCGGUUUAAGCGUGUAGGCUGGUUUUCCAGGCAAAUCCGGAAAAUCAAGGCUGAGGCGUGAUGACGAGGCACUACGGUGCUGAAGCAACAAAUGCCCUGCUUCCAGGAAAAGCCUCUAAGCAUCAGGUAACAUCAAAUCGUACCCCAAACCGACACAGGUGGUCAGGUAGAGAAUACCAAGGCGCUUGAGAGAACUCGGGUGAAGGAACUAGGCAAAAUGGUGCCGUAACUUCGGGAGAAGGCACGCUGAUAUGUAGGUGAAGCGACUUGCUCGUGGAGCUGAAAUCAGUCGAAGAUACCAGCUGGCUGCAACUGUUUAUUAAAAACACAGCACUGUGCAAACACGAAAGUGGACGUAUACGGUGUGACGCCUGCCCGGUGCCGGAAGGUUAAUUGAUGGGGUCAGCGCAAGCGAAGCUCUUGAUCGAAGCCCCGGUAAACGGCGGCCGUAACUAUAACGGUCCUAAGGUAGCGAAAUUCCUUGUCGGGUAAGUUCCGACCUG